UACGUAGGUGGCAAGCGUUGUCCGGAAUUAUUGGGCGUAAAGAGUUCGUAGGCGGUUAUCUAAGUCUGGUGUUAAAGCCCGAAGCUCAACUUCGGCAUGGCAUUGGAAACUGGGUAGCUAGAGUGUGGUAGAGGUAUCGGGAAUUCCUGGUGUAGCGGUGAAAUGCGUAGAUAUCAGGAGGAACACCGGCGGCGAAAGCGCGAUACUGGGCCAUAACUGACGCUGAGGAACGAAAGCCAGGGGAGCGAAAGGG
rnacentral:rRNA from 1 species